CAACAUGGCACAGUCGAUUAACAUCACCGAGCUGAAUCUGCCACAGCUAGAAAUGCUCAAAAAUCAGCUGGACCAGGAAGUGAGGUUCUUGUCCACGUCCACUGCCCAGCUCACGAUGGUACAGACUAAGCAUGUGGAAGCCAAGGAUUGUCUGAACAUGCUGAACAAGAGCAACGAAGGGCAAGAAUUACUCCUCCCACUGACAAGUUCCCAGUAUGUCCCUGGGAAGCUACAUGAUGUGGAACACAUGCUCAUUGAUGUGGGAACUGGCUACUAUGUAGAGACAACAGCUGAGGAUGCCCAGGACUUCUUCAAGAGGAAGAUAGACUUCCUAACCAAGCAGAUGAAGAAAAUCCAGCCAACUCUCCAGGAGAAACACACCAUGAAACGGGCUGUCAUGGAAAUGAUGAGCCAGAAGAUUCAGCAGCUCACAGUCUUGAGGGCAGGUCAGAUGACUGCUAAGGCCUAAGAGUUUGCAGAAAUGGGGCAGGAGGGAUCCUG